AGAACCACCAGAGGAAGGACCAUUAAAAACAUACUACCAUUUUUUGGUUUUUCUUUUAAGUACGUUUUCAAGGCUUUCUUGACAUUUUCGAUCGCUUUUUUGUGGAUUUUAAGUGCAUAAAGUCCCGAGUCCUGGUCUUAUAUAGUUUCCCGUCCGCAACAGCGACCUGCACGCACGAGCAGUUUCGUCUUUUUGAAACCCCCCUCCCUCUCCCCCGUGAAAAUAAAUCCUGGUCGCGCCUUUGCCGUGCAGUGCCUUUCCCUCCUGAAAGUCGACUCCUAACCGGUGC